rnacentral:lncRNA from 1 species
CAUUUUACUGAUAGUUCCUCAAUUUUCUCCCCAGGUACUUCCUCACUUGCACCUUCAAUUUUUGUGUCUAUUCUUGUUUUAAAUAGUCUUCAUAGGAAAUCUUACCUAGUUUCAAAUAUUGUUGGAACUCAGAUUUCUAAAUCUAUGACACCAACACAACAUCUCUUUUGAAAUGCAGAUUCAUACAUCUAUCAAACUCCCUCCUAAAUAUAAUUCCCAUUAAGUGUAUUGAAGUUUCAUCAAACUCUACAUAUCUGAAAAAUAGUUAUUUCCCUCACCUUGCCCCUCACUCUAAUAUGAACAAAUGUAUUUCUUCUAUGCUACUUUAAUCAUUAUAGAUUUUUCCUCUUUCACCUUUCUCUCAUGUAAUUAUUGACUGAGGUGAUUUUUUUAGAUAUUAAAUAUUUCUUGAAUAUCUCCACAUCUUUAUUCCUAUCCUGCCCAUAUCAGCUAGUAUGGCCAGGAAAACAGAAACCACUUUAGGUAGAAGGUAUUUAAUACAGGAAAUUAGAAACAACAUGGUUGGAAAUCAGAGGCAGGAAACAUCAGAAGAAAGUGGUCUGGUAUUUAGAGAACCCAGAAAUGCAGGAAUCAUAAAGUUGAUGCCAAUAAUCUCAACCUCCUGCAGGAUGAAAUAAAUUAGCUGUGGUUCAGAAAUGUAGAUUGGAACUAUGAUAAUAUAAUACUAUGUAAACAGAAAGUGCUAUUUAACACAGAAGUUUAAAAACAUCAAGUGAAUUUUUGGUUGAAUAAAUGGAUAUUGUUUUGCCUGAUCAGAAUUUUAUUUUUUGUUUAUUGACCACUUAGGUUGUCAUUUGAACAAUUUCUCUUUAAUUUUCUUAAUUAAUUAAAGGUGGACAAUUAACUCUUUUGGGAAACUUUAGAAAUGAGUGUGGCAUUUUGAUGAAAAGUCUGUUUUAAAUCUGCUUUACGUAAAUGCUCUUUUUUUGUGUUUGUGUGUCUUUAGUACCAAUUGCAACAGGCCAUUAUUCAAUGGGUCCAACAGUUUGAGAAUGUAGUGGAUGGCCCAGCUGGAUUUCAGUGUGUACUAUACCUGUGUAAUUAUGGGGAAAAUAUCUCUCACUUGAGACAGAAAUUUAAUUCCAUUAUUUGAAGCCAUGAGAUUAGAUAUUUCCUAUGCAUCAGUUAAAAUCGUCUAAUUUCUAAAAAAACCAAUGGUUCCAGCAAGGGAAUGGGAAAUAUGAGAGCACGAAGAUAAUGGGUUUAGGAGAAAAUUUGAAAGUAAAAUAAAUAGGUCCUUGUGGCCAAAUUAAAUAGGACCUCGUGAAUUUUAAAUUCCCUCAAUUUAAUGUUGAGGAAAUGAAUAAAAAAAAGAAGAGAAGAGAUAGUACAUUCUAACUUUCACCUAUUUGUUUAUUCAUUUACUUAACAAACAUUGAUUGAGUUUGUACUAUGUCUCAUUUAGCAUGUCAAAGCUCUGGGAAUAAAAGAUGACUGAAACAGGAUUCUUUUCCCUAGGAAGGUCACAGUCUGAUAGAGGAGGUAAAAACACAUCCAGUCAACUAUAACACAAUGUGAUAUAUUAAGCUUUUACUCUGCCACCAUUAUAUUUAAUGUACUGAGGGAAGACAAAUGAGUGAACAACUAAUUAUAUUGGGGAAAGUAUUUGGGAAGACUCUAGAGAAGAUGUAACAAUUGUCUUUAAUAUUAAAAAAUGAUCUUUCUAAGGAGAGAUAUGUGGCAAAGAUGGUUCAGCAAGUGAGAAAGGUGCGGUGAAUUUAGCUAUUGUCCAGACUUCAGGCAGCAGGGAGAAUGGGAUUGGCCGCUGUCAUUGUCACAAAGCUUGUUAGCCCUAGACAACAGAUUCUAUCCUGUGUGUCUUGAGAUUAAUAAAUGUACUUUAUAAUCAUUGUGAGGAUUAAAUGAGCUAAUAUAUGAAAUAAUUUUAGUAUACAGCCUAGAAAUAUUAGCAUGUGAUAAAUAUUUAUUUCUGUUUCUAAAUUUUCUUCAUUCUUGCCUUCUAGUUGAAAAGUAUAUUAGAUAAUGGGUAAAUCUAAGAAAACAUGUUGCAACAAGAAAAAAAUUUUGUGUAAUUGUGUGUGCUCAGUUAUUUCAGCUGAGGAACUAAUUUUGCCAGUAGAUGUAAUUUGCUUAGGACUAAACAAAAGUUUAUCCUGUGAGCUAUUUUGAACAAUUUUAUUAUAAGAAUUAUUUAUUUUAUGGAAGAAUCUUAUAUAAAAUAUUUAAAGUAGGAUCCACAUGGCGGCCAACAAGAUUAUAAUGAUAAUAUUAAUAAUAAAUCUGAAUUCCUUUAUAUGAGACGAGAUUGGCAAUUGUCUUCAGCUCCCAACAUUUCCUAUUGUCUUAGUGGCCACCUUUUCUCCUUUGUAUUACCUUAAUGGUUCAUGUAAAUAUUUGUUGUUUGUGAUUUCAAGCAUCAGAAUAAGCUUCCAUCCUAAGGAUUUAUCUUUGGCAAGAUAAUUUCCUUUUCCUAAGUGGAAAUUGCCUGCUAGAGAGUCAGCAAUAGUAACACAAAUUCAUAUACCUGUCUUCAUCUACUAUUUUCAAAAGCCCAAAGAAACAGUAACAACAACAAAAACAAUACCUGAUUAUACCAAAACAGAAAAGAGCAAAACAAAUCAACUUUGACCUAAAUAGAGAAAAAUAAUCCUCCCUCUUUUUUAGCUUCAGAAUGAUAGCAUGCUUCCUAAAGCCCUACCAUAAAUAGCAUUAUUUUCAACAUGGCCAAUUUUCUAAUAUACCAAUACUCAUAUAAAACAGGGAUCUUAGAAAUCAGCAGUUUCAGUUCCAGGUCUUCUGAAAGCUCAUAUAAUUCUUCUGAAUUUUUACCGACAGCUUUGGGGAUUGUACUUUUGAUGGUAGGGCCAGCUUUUCUUACAAAUUUUUCCUUUCCUUUAAUUUGAAAAUAAUAUUUACUACAAAUGCUUUGGUUUCUUAUUAUAAUUGCCAUCAUACAGUUAAUGAAAACUAAAUUUUAUUAUUAUAACACCUAACUAUGAACCUCAAAUUCAGACUGUCUUGGUUUGUUUUUUUGCAAAAGUGGUGACACAAGGGAGAGAGUGUGGCUGUCAGUUAUCUCAUUUUGUUACUUUUGUAAAAGAUCUGCUGAUUCUUUGGGUAUAGCUCUGGUGUCAUUUCAAGUUUUUCCUGGCUCUAAGCAUCACGUCAUCGCCCUGGCAUCCUGUGCCUAUCUCUAACUGUACUAUUUCCUUUCUUCUCAAUUUAUGUGACUUUUUUCAAGAUACUUCAGUAUUUUAUCUCAUUAAGCA